GAUUAGAAGAAGGGCAGGGAAGCACAAACCCUAAACAACCUAAAUCUCUCAAAUUGAAAAGGAAAAGUGAAGGUAAAUUGAUGCAUGAACUAAGAAUGGUGAUUAUCUAAGCAUAUCCAACACCAAGCACAAAGAAGGAGGAAGGCGCAAGUCACUCAAAGGCACAAUCAUCACAAGAUCGCGGUAAAUCUCUUGCUUGAAUGCGGCGCACGCGAACCGAACACACACACGAAACGUCGACUCUAAGCGCUUCCGGUCCAAGUUGUUUGUUUGAUGGGUUAACUUACCAUUUUGAUUAGUAAAUGUUAUUUUGUAAGUGUCUAGUUUGUUAGUAGGAAGUUUGGAUACUAAACUUUGUCUAGUUUGUACAAAAGGUUCAAGGCGAACCAUAUACGGUCUUAACUUUGAUUAUGUUGGGAAGUG